rnacentral:rRNA from 1 species
CAGCCGUAAACUAUGCGCGUUAGGUGUACUGGUGACCACGAGUCACCGGGGUGCCGAAGGGAAACCGUGAAACGUGCCGCCUGGGAAGUACGGUCGCAAGGCUGAAACUUAAAGGAAUUGGCGGGGGAGGCACCACAACGGGUGGGAGCCUGCGGGUUUAAUUUGGACUCAACGCCGGAAAUCUCACCGGAUAGGACAGACAUAUGAUAGUCGGGCUGAAGACUCUACUUGAUGAUCUGAGAGGAGGUGCAUGGCGUCAGUGAC